rnacentral:rRNA from 1 species
CGGCGGACGGGUGAGUAACGCGUGGGUAAUCUGCCUCAUACAGGGGGAUAACAGUUAGAAAUGACUGCUAAUACCGCAUAAGCGCACAGGACCGCAUGGUCCGGUGUGAAAAACUCCGGUGGUAUGAGAUGGACCCGCGUCUGAUUAGCUGGUUGGCGGGGUAACGGCCCACCAAGGCGACGAUCAGUAGCCGACCUGAGAGGGUGGCCGGCCACAUUGGGACUGAGACACGGCCCAAACUCCUACGGAAGGCAGCAG